GCGCCCAUAGCUCAAUGGAUAGAGCGCCGGACUUCGAAUCCGUAGGUUGCGUGUUCGACCCACGCUGGGCGCGC
rnacentral:tRNA from 1 species